AUUGAACGCUGGCGCCGUGCUUAACACAUGCAAGUCGAUCGGUAACAGGUGUAGCAAUACAUGCUGACGAGAGGCGGACGGGUGAGGAACGCUUGGGAAUCUGCCUAUCAGCGGGGGACAACCCGGGGAAACUCGGGCUAAUACCGCAUACGCUCCACGGAGGAAAGCCGGGGACCGCAAGGCCUGGCACUGAUAGAUGAGCCCAAGUCGGAUUAGCUAGUUGGCGGGGUAACGGCCCACCAAGGCGACGAUCCGUAGCUGGUCUGAGAGGACGAUCAGCCACACCGGAACUGAGACACGGUCCGGACUCCUACGGGAGGCAGCAGUGGGGAAUAUUGGACAAUGGGGGAAACCCUGAUCCAGCGACGCCGCGUGGGUGAAGAAGGCCUGCGGGUUGUAAAGCCCUUUCGGUAGGGAAGAAAUGCAUGGUGGCUAAUAUCCAUCAUGCUUGACGGUACCGCUAAAGGAAGCACCGGCUAACUCCGUGCCAGCCGCCGCGGUAAUAC
rnacentral:rRNA from 1 species